rnacentral:rRNA from 1 species
GAUGAACGCUGGCGGCGUGCCUAACACAUGCAAGUCGAACGGGGGCAGAUUGAAACCUAGUGAUAUCUGCCCGAGUGGCGGACGGGUGAGUAACGCGUGGACAACCUGCCGCAUGCAGGGGGAUACCGGCUGGAAACAGCCGCUAAUACCGCAUAUGCGCACAGCACCGCAUGGUGCAGUGCGGAAAGGAUUUUUCCGGCAUGCGAUGGGUCCGCGUCCGAUUAGCUUGUUGGCGGGGCAGCGGCCCACCAAGGCGACGAUCGGUAGCCGGCCUGAGAGGGCGGACGGCCACAUUGGGACUGAGACACGGCCCAG